GACGAACGCUGGCGGCGUGCUUAACACAUGCAAGUCGAACGGAAAGGCCCUGCUUUUGUGGGGUGCUCGAGUGGCGAACGGGUGAGUAACACGUGAGUAACCUGCCCUUGACUUUGGGAUAACUUCAGGAAAAUGGGGCUAAUACCGGAUAGGAGCUCCUGCUGCAUGGUGGGGGUUGGAAAGUUUCGGCGGUUGGGGAUGGACUCGCGGCUUAUCAGCUUGUUGGUGGGGUAGUGGCUUACCAAGGCUUUGACGGGUAGCCGGCCUGAGAGGGUGACCGGCCACAUUGGGACUGAGAUACGGCCCAGACGCCUACGGGAGGCAGCAGUGGGGAAUAUUGCACAAUGGGCGGAAGCCUGAUGCAGCAACGCCGCGUGCGGGAUGACGUCCUUCGGGUUGUAAACCGCUUUCUCCUGUGACGAGGCGUGAGUGACGGUAAUGGGUAAAGAAGCACCGGCUAACUACGUG
rnacentral:rRNA from 1 species